AGCCGUAGGACCCAGAAAACCAGCAAGCAGGCGUGCUCCAGCCGUCACAUGGUGGCAUAACGGGAAAGGCCAGCCGGCAAACAGGCGUGCAUAGGAAACUACAUGGCAGCCCUGAAACACAGCAGGAAUUCAAACUGAGGAUAAACAAUUUGUUUGAAGUCGGGAAGAUUAUGAAGGCUUAGAACUUACCCUGCAUACCUGCAGAGCUAAUUACCAUCCUCAAAGAUUGGAUUAAUAUGUCUUUGUGACUGCCCUGAGUCAAGCCUUUGAAGACGUUAUCUAGAUUAGGAAAUACCAACAUAUUAACUCAUUAGAACAUAGACACAGAAAAGCCAGAUGCUUUCACUCCUCUCUCCUUAUGGCGGAAACGGGUGAAAGUCAAUAAACAAAGAGCCCCCUUUCCACACGUUUAAUAGUAAGAUCCAUAGUUUAAAUAUUAUUUGUUUGUUUGUUUGUUUAUUGUGUGUUGUGUGGGCAUACCCAUGCCACAGCAUGUAAUACCAAGGACGGCCAGCAGGUGUCAGUUUUCACCUUCCACCACCUGGGUUCUGCAGAUUGGACUCAGGCGAUCAGGUGCCGUAGCAGGUGUCUUUGGCUGAUGAGCUGUCUAUUGCUGACUAUGUAUUUGUAGUGACAAGCAUCCAAUUGUGAGCCAGUGACGUGACUCAGGGAGUAAAGGUGCUUGUUGCCCGAGGAUCUGAGUUCAGCCUCUGGUACCAGCAUGGUGGAAGGAAGGCGAGAACCGGCUCCUGUGGAGAUGCUUUGACUUCCACAAUGACGCCAUGGUAUACAUCCUCCACACACUCCACCACCAAGGAGAGCAACACCCAAAGCAAAGAUAUUAGGAAGAAGGCAGAGCAUGACGUCAGGGAAGGAAAGGAGGAAAGGGAGUUUCACCGAGCACACGUUACUCAUCGCUUCAAGGUGAGACUACGGGAACCGUGUCAGUCACCAGAUGGAAGGACCAAGUCAAAGGCCCAAGAGUACUCUGACCAUUGUGGAACGUGUGCAGCUGAGUGACGUUCAAAUGGAGAGAGCAGCACCACCGGCUGCCAAAUUCUCGGAAGCCAAAUCAAGACGGUAAAAUGCCUGCUGCGCAAGCAUGCGCACUGGAGUUUCGAUCCCCAGCACCCGCAUGAAAACCAGACGUGGCGGCACACAUUGCCGAGAGGAUGGCAGACACACAGAACUCGAGAGCUUGCCAGCCAGUCUGUCUGAUUGCACGUUUGCCUUCAAAGAACUUCUUGGCUGCCAGUUUUGCUGAGACGGACAGAGGUACCAAUAAAGAGGCACCGCUUCUGCCGUAGACUCCAGAACAGUGAUCUCGGGGCUGUCGCCAUCCUAGCUGGCGACGCAGUUUCCCAUCAAGAAAUCUUUGACUGUCUACUGGCAUUUGCUCGGUCAGUGAGGUCAGUUAUGAGCAGGUGGCGCGUCACCUUGAAGCGGGCUGGGCAGAUUCCUACGAUGCCAGAACACACGGGAAGUUUCCAGGAGUGGCAGGACGUCCGGUUGUUGUUAUUCUUGGCCCUGCCCAGUGCAAGCAAGGAAAAAGCAGCUUGCUUAUUAGGGGCAUAAAUAAGGGCUUAAUUGCCUCUAGCCGGGAUCUGGUGGCCAAAGUCAUUAAUUACGGGUCUGCUGUCCUGAGUCUGAAACUGGGGCCCUCAGAGCUUCCGGUCUUACCCAAAACUGAGGGCGGAGUGCUUCGGCUCAACGCUUAAGAGUGCGAAGCAGAACUCCCCGACUCACGUGAAGAGACGCAUUCUUCUUUUUGACUCUUUUCAGAGAUAUUUGAAGGACAGGGUGUAUUUCGUGAGAGGUGUCUGCGUUUGUGUUCUUUGGUUGUUUGGGUCAAGGCCACUGAGAGAAGGUGUG